rnacentral:rRNA from 1 species
GCAAUGGACGAAAGUCUGACGGAGCAACGCCGCGUGAGUGAAGAAGGUUUUCGGAUCGUAAAACUCUGUUGUUAGGGAAGAACAAGUGCCGUUCGAAUAGGGCGGCACCUUGACGGUACCUAACCAGAAAGCCACGGCUAACUACGUGCCAGCAGCCGCGGUAAUACGUAGGUGGCAAGCGUUGUCCGGAAUUAUUGGGCGUAAAGCGCGCGCAGGUGGUUUCUUAAGUCUGAUGUGAAAGCCCACGGCUCAACCGUGGAGGGUCAUUGGAAACUGGGGAACUUGAGUGCAGAAGAGGAAAGUGGAAUUCCAAGUGUAGCGGUGAAAUGCGUAGAUAUUUGGAGGAACACCAGUGGCGAAGGCGACUUUCUGGUCUGUAACUGACACUGAGGCGCGAAAGCGUGGGGAGCAAACAGGAUUAGAUACCCUGGUAGUCCACGCCGUAAACGAUGAGUGCUAAGUGUUAGAGGGUUUCCGCCCUUUAGUGCUGCAGCUAACGCAUUAAGCACUCCG